rfam:Stegodyphus mimosarum contig40461, whole genome shotgun sequence.
GUCUUUGUGGUGUAGUGGUCAGCAGACUCGGCACGUAUUCGAGAGGUCCGUGGUUCGAGUCCCGGCGAGGGCA